ACAUCCAAAUUUCUUGUUUAAUUUUCAGUUUUUCGUUUGGAUUCCAGUUAAAAGAACUUUAAGGAUCAAAAUGUGCUGUGGACCUUGUGGACCGUGCUGCGGAGGCUGCUACAGCCCUUGCUGUAGCCCAUGCUGCGGCCCCUGUGGUCCUUGUGGCCCCUGCGGCCCUUGUGGCUCCUGUUGCAGUCCCUGCUGUGGACCGUGCUGUGGGCCCUGUUGCGGCGGUGGAUGCUGCAGCAGCUGUGGACCAUCCUGCUGAGGGAUCAUCGCGAGGCUCUUCACAGUUAUAGCCAACGUCCGUCGAAUCCAACAGAACAACUGAAUGUUACUUUCUAAAUGUCUUUGCUGACUUAUUCGACUUGAAAACAAGAUCAAGUCGUAAUAAAGCUGGAAUCGGGACGGA